rnacentral:lncRNA from 1 species
AUGCUCUAUGGGGCACGAUACCCUGGAGAACAAUGGACUUCCUUAGCAGAAAUGAAGCGAAAAUUCAUUAAAAGCAGCCUACCGUUCUCUGCCAAGAGCUGCAUUUCCUGCAUGGUGGUGUUCCUGCACAGUGCAGAUUGCUGCAGGGCGAGAACCACAAUUCUUUGAGACAGCCAUGUUAAAGAAAGUUUGAAAGAAAACAAGAUAUGAUUUUAUGGAAGACUUUUUUUUUUUUUUCAUGAGAAGUAUUUAUUCAUAUUUGCCUGAUGCUCAAUGAAGUUUUAAGACCUUGCCCACAUGGACAUACCUCUUUGAAACUUGGGGUAAAUCCAUAAACUUUAUGCCAUCUCAACCCAAGGCUGCAAGCUAAACUGAACUAUUCUACAUCCUCAAGAGUCUCUCUGAGUUCCUGUAUGAUGUUUGACAGUUGUGUAAAUGGCAACUUCCCAAGAAAGCAAAUUUCUUCCUUGCAAUUUUUACAUAAAAUAUAAGUAGCUCUGUAAGCAGUUGGAUAUUUAAAUACAAAUUUGCCAGAGCUCAAACUUGAGACCACUGUUCUGAGGCCAUCAAUGCAUAUGAAGAAACAACAACAAAAACUGAAUUUCAUAAUUUUUCUCUUAACUAUUACCACUUCUUCAGUAUAAAGAUUAAUUGAAUGGGUAAACUGUAUUCUGAGCUGUGUUUAAGUUUGUUUAGGCUUUAGAAAGUCAUUAACCUUUUCAUUUAGAAAAGUUUAAAUUGACAUAUUUUCAAAUAUACUCUUCCCACAAUCACAAUAGUAUUAAAGCCUUUGGGAUCUGUGCUUCUAAAUGUGCACCAGCACUUUUACCUUGCAGACCCUCUUACAUUUUCCAAUGAUAGGGUUAUUGUAAACAAACAAACAAACAAACAAACAAAAAACAACAACAAAACUUGGUAGCAUCCUAUUAAUUUCAUGCACAAAAUGAACCAUCUACACUUUUUGCAGAUGUUCCUUUUGGGAUCUUACAAUCCAAUGUCCUAGUUUCACUAGUAUUACUUCUCAGCUAAAAAGAAUAUAUUCUGCAGAAUUUGAGCUGGCAUGUGUACCUAAAUAACCAAGAUGUGCCACAAAUUACACAUUAAUCAAAUGAAAGGGAACAAAGGAAACAUUGGAUGACUCUGUAAGUGUUGUAUUUAAUUUGGAUAAAUGCAGUUUUCAUUAAACAACGAAGGUAAAAAUCCUUGUGUAUUUUAUAAGAUUUACUGUUUAAAUAGAGCAAUUGUUUCCUCAUAG